rnacentral:lncRNA from 1 species
CCAUAGCUCUCUGGCAUUUAUGAUAACCAAAUGCUUUCAAAUCUGCCUAAGGCCUAGUGAUCCACAGCUGUGGGAAUAAUAGCCAACAUGUGAUAGAUGAGUUUUUACAGCUACAUGAGACAUAACAUGAAUAAUAAUAAAAAGUCCCUGUUUCUAGUCACUUAGAGAACUAGUUACAUAAACAAAACUGUGUAGGUUGGCAAAAAUGUCUUGAAGGGUUUUCCUCACUUGCUGAGUUUACCUCAUAAUGUGACCACAAAAAGGCCUGCACAUUUAAAGGAGCUACUAAAAUUUAGCAAUGUCCUCCUUUUUGUAUUAGAAACUAAUGUUCCCUUACAGUAUGGCAAGUGAUAGAGGCUUCCUUUCAAGAAAAUGAAACUAGUUUCUAGCUAAAUUUAUUGGAAUAAAAUGUGUGCAGUUUGAAAACGGAAAGCCUGAGGUGAUGCAUAUAAACACACAUGGGAUAGAAAACACACAUGGGAUAGAAGAUACACAUGGGACAGAAGACACACAUGGGAUAGAAGAUACACAUGGGAUAGAAGACACACAUGGGAUAGAAGACACACAUGGGAUAGAAGACACACAUGGGAUAGAAGACACACAUGGGAUAGAAGACACACAUGGGAUAGAAGACACACAUGGGAUAGAAGACACACAUGGGAUAGAAGACACACAUGGGAUAGAAGACACACAAGGGGUAGAAGAUACACAUGGGAUAGAAGACACACAUGGGAUAGAAGAUAC